AGGAACAAGGAGGAAUAGCAACUAUUUUGUCGAUAUUAAUCGACAAUCCAAUCGAACCGGUAACUAUUGAUGCUAAGCAAGACAAAAAAUCUCCAAAACAGAGAAAAGGGAAAGAAGGAGGUAAACCUACCAGAGGUGCAAGUUCAAAAGG